rnacentral:rRNA from 1 species
GCCCUUAUUCCGGUUGAUCCUGCCGGAGGACAUUGCUAUUGGGAUUCGAUUUAGCCAUGCUAGUCGAGCGAGUUUAGACUCGCGGCGAAUAGCUCAGUAACACGUGGCCAAGCUCCCCUUCAGUCAGCGAUACCCUCGGGAAACUGAGGUUAACAGCUGAUACAAAACGCCAGCUGGAAUGCGGCGUUUCAGAAAGACAUCGCUGAAGGAUGCGGCUGCGGCCGAUUAGGUAGACGGUGGGGUAACGGCCCACCGUGCCAGUAAUCGGUACGGGUGAUGAGAGUCAGAGCCCGGAGACGGAAUCUGAGACAAGAUUCCGGGCCCUACGGGGCGCAGCAGGCGCGAAACCUUUACACUGCACGGAAGUGCGAUAGGGGAAUCCCAAGUGCGAGGGCAUAUUAGCCCUCGCUUUUCUCGACUGUAAGGUGGUCGACGAAUAAGAGCUGGGCAAGACCGGUGCCAGCCGCCGCGGUAAUACCGGCAGCUCAAGUGAUGUCCCAUAUUAUUGGGCCUAAAGCGUCCGUAGCU